UACGUAGGGCGCAAGCGUUGUCCAGAAUCAUUGGGCGUAAAGCGCGUGUAGGCGGUCCGGUAAGUCCGCUGUGAAAGUCGGGGGCUCAACCCUCGGAUGCCGGUGGAUACUGUCGGGCUUGAGUACGGAAGAGGCGAGUGGAAUUCCUGGUGUAGCGGUGAAAUGCGCAGAUAUCAGGAGGAACACCAAUUGCGAAGGCAGCUCGCUGGGACGUUACUGACGCUGAGACGCGAAAGCGUGGGGAGCAAACAGG
rnacentral:rRNA from 1 species